rnacentral:rRNA from 1 species
AAUGAACGUUGGCGGCGUGGAUUAGGCAUGCAAGUCGAGCGAGAAUUUGCGAUUGGAAGCUUCGGCCGAAGAAAGUGAAGGAAGCGGCAAACGGCGUAGUAAGGCGUAGGUACGUACCCUCGGGUCGGGAAUAGCCAUGGGAAACUGUUGGGUAAUGCCCGAUAAUCUCUGCGGAGCAAAGGUGGUGAUUCCGCCGGAGGAGCGGCUUACGUGAUAGUUAGCUAGUUGGUGGGGUAAUGGGCCUACCAAGGCAACGAUGUCUGGGGGGUGUGAGAGCAUGGCCCCCCACGACCGGAACUGAGGACACUGUCCGGACACCUACGGGUGGCUGCAGUCGAGAAUCUUCCGCAAGUGGGCGAAAGCCUGACGGAGCGACGCCGCGUGGUGGAUGAAGGCCCUUGGGGUUGUAAACACCUGUCAGAGGGGAUGAAAUCAUGGUUGGCAAUCCUUCCAUGUUGACAGA